rnacentral:lncRNA from 1 species
AUCUAUCUAAUUGACACCAUUAGGGGUUGACACAAUAUUCAACCUUGUUUGCCGUUCAAGAUUCCAGGAAGCAGAUAUCGAUGAUUAUCCCAAAAAGAUACUGUCAAGCUAAGUUGCUCGAAAUCUCCAAAAAUAUUGUCGAACCCGUGUCGGCUCCUCUGAAAAUGCACUACUUUUGAAGGAUCCGACACGCACUCCAUGAUAGUUUUGAAGAGUCUGAGCAACUUAGCUGUCAAGUAGUGUAGUGAACAUAACUUAGCAUUCU